rnacentral:rRNA from 1 species
GAUGAACGCUGGCGGCGUGCCUAAUACAUGCAAGUCGAGCGAACAGACGAGGAGCUUGCUCCUCUGACGUUAGCGGCGGACGGGUGAGUAACACGUGGAUAACCUACCUCUAAGACUGGGAUAACUUCGGGAAACCGGAGCUAAUACCGCAUAAAAUAUUGAACCGCAUGGUUCAAUAGUGAAAGACGGUUUUGCUGUCACUUAUAGAUGGACCCGCGCCGCUUUAGCUGGUUGGUAAGGUAACGGCUUACCAAGGCGACGAUGAGUACCCGACCCGAUAGGGGGAUCGGCCACACUGGAACGGAGACACGGUCCAGACUCCUACGGGAGGCAGCAGUGGGGAAUCUUCCGCAAUGGCGGAAAGCCUGACGGAGCAACGCCGCGUGAGUGAUGAAGGUCUUCGGAUCGUAAAACUCUGUUAUUAGGGAGAAACAAAUGUGUAAGUAACUAUGCACGUCUUGACGGUACCUAAUCAGAAAGCCACGGCUAACUACGUG